rnacentral:rRNA from 1 species
CGAUCUCGUCUGAUCUCGGAAGUCAAGCAAUCUCGCCCUUGGUUAGUACUUGGAUGGGUGACCGCUUGGGAAUACCAAGUGUGUUAAGCA